UGAAGGGCGUGCUAAUCUGCGAUAAGCGCCGGUAAGGUGAUAUGAACCGUUAUAACCGGCGAUACCCGAAUGGGGAAACCCAGUGUGACUCGUCACACUAUCAUUAACUGAAUCCAUAGGUUAAUGAGGCGAACCGGGGGAACUGAAACAUCUAAGUACCCCGAGGAAAAGAAAUCAACCGAGAUUCCCCCAGUAGCGGCGAGCGAACGGGGAGGAGCCCAGAGCCUGAAUCAGCAUGUGUGUUAGUGGAAGCGUCUGGAAAGGCGCGCGAUACAGGGUGACAGCCCCGUACACAAAAGCGCAUGUGCUGUGAGCUCGAUGAGUAGGGCGGGACACGUGGUAUCCUGUCUGAAUAUGGGGGGACCAUCCUCCAAGGCUAAAUACUCCUGACUGACCGAUAGUGAACCAGUACCGUGAGGGAAAGGCGAAAAGAACCCCGGCGAGGGGAGUGAAAAAGAACCUGAAACCGUGUACGUACAAGCAGUGGGAGCCCCACCACCAAAGCAUUUGCUGUACCGCGUUGACGGAGCGAAGCGACGUCAAACCGAUAAAACAGCAGUGUAAAGUGAGCCGCAGGGCGCUUUGCGCGACAGCGCAAAGGCAGGCGGUUUCGCGUAGCGAAAGCGAAUGCUUUGGGGUGGGGUGACUGCGUACCUUUUGUAUAAUGGGUCAGCGACUUAUAUUCUGUAGCAAGGUUAACCGAAUAGGGGAGCCGGAGGGAAACCGAGUCUUAAUUGGGCGUUAAGUUGCAGGGUAUAGACCCGAAACCCGGUGAUCUAGCCAUGGGCAGGUUGAAGGUUGGGUAACACUAACUGGAGGACCGAACCGACUAAUGUUGAAAAAUUAGCGGAUGACCUGUGGCUGGGGGUGAAAGGCCAAUCAAACCGGGAGAUAGCUGGUUCUCCCCGAAAGCUAUUUAGGUAGCGCCUCGUGAAUUCAUCUCCGGGGGUAGAGCACUGUUUCGGCUAGGGGGCCAUCCCGGCUUACCAACCCGAUGCAAACUGCGAAUACCGGAGAAUGUUAUCACGGGAGACACACGGCGGGUGCUAACGUCCGUCGUGAAGAGGGAAACAACCCAGACCGCCAGCUAAGGUCCCAAAGUCAUGGUUAAGUGGGAAACGAUGUGGGAAGGCCCAGACAGCCAGGAUGUUGGCUUAGAAGCAGCCAUCAUUUAAAGAAAGCGUAAUAGCUCACUGGUCGAGUCGGCCUGCGCGGAAGAUGUAACGGGGCUAAACCAUGCACCGAAGCUGCGGCAGCGACACUGUGUGUUGUUGGGUAGGGGAGCGUUCUGUAAGCCUGUGAAGGUGUGUCGUGAGGCAUGCUGGAGGUAUCAGAAGUGCGAAUGCUGACAUAAGUAACGAUAAAGCGGGUGAAAAGCCCGCUCGCCGGAAGACCAAGGGUUCCUGUCCAACGUUAAUCGGGGCAGGGUGAGUCGACCCCUAAGGCGAGGCCGAAAGGCGUAGUCGAUGGGAAACGGGUUAAUAUUCCCGUACUUGGUGUUACUGCGAAGGGGGGACGGAGAAGGCUAUGUUGGCCGGG
rnacentral:rRNA from 1 species